CUUCGGCUUCAGCGCCGCCGCUGGGGAAAUGUCUGAUGAGGAGAUCAAAAAGAAGACACUAGCUUCAGCUGUAGCUUGUUUAGAAGGGAAGUCACCAGGGGAGAAAGCAGCCAUUAUCCAUCAGCAUCUUGGCCGUCGAGAAAUGACAGAUGUGAUCAUUGAGACCAUGAAGUCCAGCCCAGAUGAACUGAAAGCUGUAAUAGAAGAAAGGAAGUCUUCAGAGGCAACCCCCACUGCACAGAGAAGUAGAGAUCAAAGUAAAGAACGAAUAAAAGCUGCUCCAGAUUCUCCAUCCAAGCAACUUCCUGACCAGAUUUCUUUCUUCAGUGGAAAUCCAUCAGUUGAAAUAGUUCAUGGUAUUAUGCAUCUAUACAAAACAAAUAAGAUGACCUCCUUAAAAGAAGAUGUGAGGCGCAGUGCCAUGCUGUGUAUUCUCACAGUCCCUGCUACAAUGACCAGUCAUGACCUUAUGAAGUUUGUCGCCCCAUUUAAUGAAGUAAUUGAACAAAUGAAAAUCAUCAGAGACUCUACUCCAAACCAAUAUAUGGUGCUGAUAAAGUUUAGUGCACAGG